CUAUACAUGACUCUGCGCAUAUCAAUAAGCGGAGGAAAAGAAACUAACAAGGAUUCCCUUAGUAACGGCGAGUGAAGCGGGAAGAGCUCAAAUUUGAAAUCUUCAAGGGUUCUACCUUUACGAAUUGUAGUUUAUAAGAAGUGUUUUCUGUUAGUAGAGUGGCUAAAAGUUCUUUGGAAUAGGACAUCAUAGAGGGUGAGAAUCCCGUAUUUGUACAGUUCCUUCCUAGCUGUUGUGAUACACUUUCAACGAGUCGGAUUGUUUGGGAAUGCAGUCCAAAAUGGGUGGUAAAUUUCAUCUAAAGCUAAAUAUUGGCGAGAGACCGAUAGCGAACAAGUACCGUGAGGGAAAGAUGAAAAGAACUUUGAAAAGAGAGUUAAACAGUACGUGAAAUUGUCAAAAGGGAAGCGUUUGACACCAGUGUUGUUUUUCCGAAAAUCAAUUACGAAUGUUUUAGUUUUUGAGGAGUUAUGACUUCAUCGGCUUGCUUCUCUCUUUAUGAAACUUUCUUAAUGCACUUUUCGGUUAACAAGUCAACAUCAAUUUCUUUUGUUGUAAAAGGGUAUGAGGAAGGUGGCUUUCUUUUCGGAGAAAGUGUUUAUAGCCUUGUACCUCUGCAAUCGGAGAGAUUGAGGUCUGCAGCGUAGAUCCUUCGGGGUUAGAUACAUUUGUGCUAAGUUAUAGCUUUUCAUAGACAACUUGUUGACUAUGUUUAGUCUUGUAGCUUACUCGCUUAUGCUAUUUUACCUACGCUUAGGAUGUUGAUAGUCACAGCGUGUA
rnacentral:rRNA from 1 species